rnacentral:rRNA from 1 species
GACGAACGCUGGCGGCGUGCUUAACACAUGCAAGUCGAACGGUAAGGCCCUUCGGGGUACACGAGUGGCGAACGGGUGAGUAACACGUGGGUGAUCUGCCCUGCACUUCGGGAUAAGCCUGGGAAACUGGGUCUAAUACCGGAUAGGACCACUGCCGGCAUGGGUGGUGGGGGAAAGCUUUUGCGGUGUGGGAUGGGCCCGCGGCCUAUCAGCUUGUUGGUGGGGUGAUGGCCUACCAAGGCGACGACGGGUAGCCGGCCUGAGAGGGUGACCGGCCACACUGGGACUGAGAUACGGCCCAGGCUCCUACGGGAGGCAGCAGUGGGGAAUAUUGCACAAUGGGCGCAAGCCUGAUGCAGCGACGCCGCGUGAGGGAUGACGGCCUUCGGGUUGUAAACCUCUUUCAGCACCGACGAAGCGCAAGUGACGGUAGGUGCAGAAGAAGGACCGGCCAACUACGUGCCAGCAGCCGCCGUAA